UUUGUAUACAGUAAAACACACCAGUUUGAAGAAUGAUAUAGAGAAGAUUAGCAUGGCCCCUGUGUAAAGAUGAUACUCAAAACUCACCAAUUUGAAAUACACAUUU